CCUUCUCCCACCAGUAACCUGCCAUGUUGUUCUUGACUCUGUGCAGACUUUCCAGCGUUUUUGCUUUAGUGAUUCGCGUUAUUGACCCUGGAUUGUUUACUGACCACCGAUUUCUGCCUACCCCUUCUCAUUGUUGUAUGUUUAUUCUGUGUACCGACUACUGGACCAGCUUCUUUGACCUCCCGUUUUGGAUCCCUUGGCAGUUUUCGUUUGCCAGUAUUGACCCUGGACUGUUCUGUGACUUGGAUUAAUGGUUUUUGGACUGUCACUGUAUUUUCUGAGUUCCCGAAAUGUGUUAUGCUGGCUCUCAAUGAUACAAGACUGCAGUCCUGUAGACGGCAGGGGGAUACACAGCUGUACCCUCCAGUUAAAUACCUUAGGAUGCACAGGAUUGCUUCCUCCUGAGAAAAGGUUACUAUCAAGUUGUGGCUAUCACUCUGGGGGCAGUCAAAAAAACUACCAGACAAACUUUAAAGGGCAGCGAGCGCAGGUUUUUGUAUGUGACGUCCAAUCACAUAAAAAAAAAUCAAUGCUAUUUUCUUUAUUUACAUACAUUAAACUAAGCUGAAACAGUAAAAAAAAAA